GACAGUGUGAUGUAGUGGUUUGAGCAUUUCACUAUGACUUUGAAGACCAGGAUUCAAAUCCCUGCUUGGCCA